rnacentral:snRNA from 1 species
UCACUUCGGCAGCACAUAUACUAAAAUUGGAAUGAUACAGAGAAGAUUAGCAUGGCCCCUGUGCAAGGGUGACACACAAAUUCAUUAAGCAUUCCAUAUUUUU